CACACUCAGGGGCGAGUUCCUGCAGAAGCCGCAGUCAAGUGUCAGAGUACCAUGGAGCUUCCUGUAGCUGGGUUGAUAUUCGCAGCGUGCAUUGCAAUCGUGGCCCAUCCUGCCGCAGGCAUGGUUGCGCUCGAUUUUGAAAAAGAUGAUGAAUGCCCUGUAAGGUACUCCGAUGGAGUCGGAAAUUGCACUGCUUUUGGAUUUUCAAUACCGCCGGGAGAAAGCAAGGGCCUCUCACAUCCCUGCGUUAUGGUUGAAUGCAGUUCAAGUGGACAGGAUAUUAAAGUCCGAGGGUGCCCGAAAACACCGGAAGUUUGCGAAAACCCAAAGAUUCCACUGAUAGCUGGCGCAUCAUGGCCGCGCUGCUGUAAACUGUGCAAGUCAGCUAAGGCUGCGCCUAAACGUACAUAAUCUUAAUCAGGUGAAGAAUAGCAAACCAAAGAUUGCGGCUGGUUUGCUGUCCGCUUUUUCUCUCUCUAUCUGUCUCUUUCUUCCUGAAUUUAUACUUAAUAAACCACAUUUUCUACAGUAUGGAAGGGAGACGGAGGGACCACUUUUUCGAAUUCUUUAAUAAAUAAAUUUUUCUGCAUUCCACUGAA